UACAGAGGUCUCAAGCGUUGUUCGGAUUCAUUGGGCGUAAAGGGUGUGUAGGUGGCGCCGUUAGUCGGGUGUGAAAUUUCGGAGCUUAACUCCGAAACUGCAUUCGAUACUGCGGUGCUUGAGGACUGGAGAGGAGACUGGAAUUCAUGGUGUAGCAGUGAAAUGCGUAGAGAUCAUGAGGAAUACCGAUGGCGAAGGCAGGUCUCUGGGCUAUAACUGACGCUCAUGCACGAAAGCGUGGGGAGCAAACAGG
rnacentral:rRNA from 1 species